rnacentral:lncRNA from 1 species
GGUAUUGGGUAGCUUCUGGAUGAAGACAUUGCCCUCAGGUUAAAGGCCUACCUUUUCUCAAUCCCCUUGCUACCAGAAUAGUCAUAUGACUACAUACCAGUCAAUGGAAUAUGGAUGGAGUAAUGGACCCCCAAAUUGUAUCCUGAGAAGAAAGGGAGCAGCCUCUACAUUCCCUGCCCUUUCCCCGCUCAUCUGAACGUAAGGCAGAGACUUGGCAAUCCACAUUUGACCUUGCCGACCCCCACAGACCUACAGUAGAGCAGCAAGGUGGAAGGACCCCAGAACCUGACAUCAGACAGCUGCCAGGCCAACCCUAGACUGUUCCCCUCCAGAUUGUUAUAUGAGGAAGAAAUUAGAUUCUCUCUCGCUUAAGCCAUGAUCAUCUGAUUCCCUGCAAUAGCAGUCAACCUGUAACCCAAUAGAAUCUGGAAUUACCAU